GACGAACGCUGGCGGCGUGCUUAACACAUGCAAGUCGAACGGAAAGGCCCUGCUUUUGUGGGGUGCUCGAGUGGCGAACGGGUGAGUAACACGUGAGUAACCUGCCCUUGACUUUGGGAUAACUUCAGGAAACUGGGGCUAAUACCUGAUAGGAGCUCCUGCUGCAUGGUGGGGGUUGGAAAGUUUCGGCGGUUGGGGAUGGACUCGCGGCUUAUCAGCUUGUUGGUGGUGUAGUGGCUUACCAAGGCUUUGACGGGUAGCCGGCCUGAGAGGGUGACCGGCCCCAUUGGGCCUGAGAUACGGCCCAGACUCCUACGGGAGGCAGCAGUGGGGAAUAUUGCACAAUGGGCGGAAGCCUGAUGAAGAAACGCCGCGUGCGGGAUGACGGCCUUCGGGUUGUAAACCGCUUUCGCCUGUGACGAAGCGUGAGUGACGGUAAUGGGUAAAGAAGCACCGGCUAACUACGUG
rnacentral:rRNA from 1 species